GACGAACGCUGGCGGCGUGCUUAACACAUGCAAGUCGAACGGAAAGGCCCUGCUUUUGUGGGUUUCUCGAGUGGCGAACGGGUGAGUAACACGUGAGUAACCUGCCCUUGACUUUGGGAUAACUUCAGGAAACUGGGGCUCAUACCGGGUAGGAGCUCCUGCUGCGUGGUGGGGGUUGGAAAGUUUCGGCGGUUGGGGCUGGACUCGCGGCUUAUCCGCUUGUUGGUGGGGUAGUGGAUUACAAAGGCUUUGACGGGUAGCCGGCCUUGGAGGGUGACCGGCCACAUUGGGACUGAGAGACGGACCAGACUCGUACGGGAGGCAGCAGUGGGGAAUAUGGCACAAUGGGCGGAAGCCUGAUGCAGCAACGCCGCGUGCGGGAUGACGGCCUUCGGGUUGUAAACCGCUUUCGCCUGUGACGAAGCGUGAGUGACGGUAAUGGGUAAAGAAGCACCGGCUAACUACGUG
rnacentral:rRNA from 1 species